AAAAUGCAUGUUUCCGGGCAUAGACGCGCAUUCCUACGGCAUAAGAGACUUUGUCGAUACUAGAGAAUCUAUAUGGACGUUCGAUACCAAAAAAACGGAGGCCGUUCGUUGCAGGUACGAUCUAAAGCGAUAUAUAGACUCGGGGUUCAUUUCUUUCAACAGGACGAUGUUGCACAACAGGCAAAGGGUUAGUCUUGAGCUGCUGGGAGAGUUUAGCAGGAGAAGUGUGGCACAGAUGUCCAUCUUCUACGGACGUAAG
rnacentral:lncRNA from 1 species